GGGAAUAUAGAUUUUUACAAUAUCUAUGGUCCUGUUUGCUCUCAUUCCUCUAAUGCAUCGAGGAAGACUAAACACAAUGGUGUUUAUGAUCCUUGUGAACUUUCGUAUGCCAGAAACUAUCUCAAUCUUCCGCAAGUACAGCAAACCUUGCAUGCAAACACAACAAAACUGCCUUACACUUGGGAUGCUUGCAGGUUUAAUCUUAACUUAACCAUUUAUUCCUCUUUUUUGUUGAUACAAGUUGUAUGCAUCAUUUAGAAAGAUCAAGAACUGAAAGUCAAUUACUUUGAUCAUUCAGUGCAAUGAUUAAUCAAUACUGGACAGAUAGCCCAUCCAGCAUGUUCCCAGUAUACAAAAGGCUCAUAAAAUAUGGCCUCCGAAUACUCAUUUACAGGUAACUAAAUUCUUAACAGUAGACCAAUAUGUAUCAGCAGUUCAGCACAGUUCAGCAUCAUAUAUGUUUGAAAGAAAACAUUCUUACCUUUUGAGUUGAACAUGUUGACGGACAGUGGUGAUAUGGAUGCAGUAGUACCAGUGACCAGUACACGAUAUUCCCUUGCUGCCUUGGAUCUUAAGAUCCUAAAACCUUGGAGUUUCUGGUUGGAUGAUACUGGAGACGUAAGUCCAUUAGGGGCUUUUAAGUUAUUCUCUCUUCAAAAUAUCAAAAUUGUGUAAAUUAAGCACUACAUCUUCAUCAGUUGACCUAUUCCAUUCUGCAGGUUGGUGGAUAUCAGAUUGUUUAUCAAGGAUUGACAUUCUCAACAGUUCGGGCUGCUGGCCAUGAAGUCCCUCGAGUUCAGCCGCACAGAUCUUUUUCUCUAUUAAAGAGGUUCAUAGCAGGCCUU
rnacentral:lncRNA from 1 species